GACGAACGCUGGCGGCGUGCUUAACACAUGCAAGUCGAACGGAAAGGGCCUGCUUUUGUGGGGUGCUCGAGUGGCGAACGGGUGAGUAACACGUGAGUAACCUGCCCUGGACUUUGGGAUAACUUCAGGAAACUGGGGCUAAUACCGGAGAGGAGCUCCUGCUGCAUGGUGGGGGUUGGAAAGUUUCGGCGGUUGGGGAUGGACUCGCGGCUUAUCAGCUUGUUGGUGGGGUAGUGGCUUACCAAGGCUUUGACGGGUAGCCGGCCUGAGAGGGUGACCGGCCACAUUGGGACUGCGAUACGGCCCAGACUCCUACGGGAGGCAGCAGUGGGGAAUAUUGCACAAUGGGCGGAAGCCUGAUGCAGCAACGCCGCGUGCGGGAUGACGGCCUUCGGGUUGUAAACCGCUUUCGCCUGUGACGAAGCGUGAGUGACGGUAAUGGGUAAAGAAGCACCGGCUAACUACGUG
rnacentral:rRNA from 1 species